rnacentral:lncRNA from 10 species
UUUUGAUUCGAGAGAGAUCACACUGGAUGCAUGGUGAACUGUGGCAGAUGGAGAAAUGGUUGGAAGCCAUGGGACGAAUGCCUAGAGUUUUGAAGGAAUGUAGACAAGGUCUCCAGAUUUGCCACCCAUGCUGAGUGCCGUGGUGUGAUCAUGGCUUAUUUCAACCUCAACCUCCCCCACUCAAGCGAUCCUCCUGCCUCAGCCUCUGGAGUAGCUGGGACUACAGGCACGCACCACCACACCCAGCCAUAAUUUGCCUCUUGCUGUAACUAAAAGGUCACAAAAACAAAGAAUUCUAAAAAAUCUUCUUCUUAAGUGGAUCUAACAUUGUGAUCGACACCAU